rnacentral:rRNA from 1 species
UACAGAGGUCUCAAGCGUUGUUCGGAUUCAUUGGGCGUAAAGGGUGUGUAGGUGGCGCGCUAAGUCGGGUGUGAAAUUUCGGAGCUUAACUCCGAAACUGCAUUCGAUACUGGCGUGCUUGAGGACUGGAGAGGAGACUGGAAUUCAUGGUGUAGCAGUGAAAUGCGUAGAGAUCAUGAGGAAGACCAGUGGCGAAGGCGGGUCUCUGGACAGUUCCUGACACUGAGGCGCGAAAGCGUGGGGAGCGAACCGG